GACGAACGCUGGCGGCGUGCUUAACACAUGCAAGUCGAACGAAGUGGCGAACGGGUGAGUAAUACGUGGGUAACCUGCCCUCCUUUUUGGGAUAAGCCUUGGAAAUGGGGUCUAAUACCGAAUAAAGGGGGAUGGGCUUGCGGCCUAUCAGCUUGUUGGUGGGGUGAUGGCCUACCAAGGCGGUGACGGGUAGCCGGCCUGGGCGGGUGACCGGCCACAUGGGGACUGGGUGACGGCCCAGGCUCCUAAGGGGGGCAGCAGUGGGGGAUAUUGCCCGAUGGGCGAAAGCCUGAUGCAGCGACGCCGCGGGGGGGAUGAAGGCUUUCGGGUUGUAAACCUCUUUCGCUACCGAACGGGUAGGUGGAGAAGAAGCGCCGGCUAACUACGUGCCAGUCGCCGCGGUAAUAC
rnacentral:rRNA from 1 species